CUAUGUUGAUCGGACGGUUGUUGUUUAACAGAAGUAUGUAGGGUGUUCUUAGAGCAUCUUUACUGGCAGUUACUCUCAUGGUUACUCAACCAUUUGGGGCCAAAAAACUGAAUAAAAAAUCUAUUUACGAUCCAUUUAGGAGAGAAUCGAUUCCCUGGGAAGCAUCUGAAGCAACACCAUGAGUAACCGUACGUGGCCUAUUUUCAUUCGUAAAUACAUAAAUAUUAAAUGAAUUUUUUUUUUCCAUUUUCUUUUUCUUUCUUCCCCAUUCUCUCUCUUCUCUCUCGAUACAAACGGAGUUCUCACGACCAACGACGGCGGAAGGUUGUUGGAUUAACCCUAAGAUUUGACGCUUCGGUUCUCACCACCAACGACGGCGGAGAUUUUUUAUGCUGCGACAACGACGGCAGCUCGAUCCCGGAGGUCUCCGUAUCAAAUCCCCGCCACAACACAACCGCCUCCGUCGAUGGUGACUGAGACGGAGAAGGUUACAGUCGAGCGUCACUGUGCUGCGAAAGGUAAAGGCUUGAAUUGCUUGGUUCCGCCUCCUAAAGGUUACCAUCAGCUGGUUCCAUGGCCUAAAAGCCGUGACGAGGUAACUCCUUUGUUUGCAAUCUCUUGUUAGAGUUUAUUGGCUAACUAAAGCUUAAUAGCAAAGCUCAAGUGGAUUAAGCUUAGAAUCAGAAUGUAAUAAGCCUAAGUAGAUUGGAUUAAGCUCAAUAUUCUCUUGUAUUGCAUUUUGGUUGGAAAAUUCUGAUCUUGGGAUUAGCUUAAGUAGAUUAAGUGAUGUCGAAUUUGGAUUUGCAGAUUUCUUAAAAUAGCUACAAUUACAAGUAUCUUCAGUUAGAGGUGCCAAGGUUGUUACUGAUCCAAGUAAUGGGCGAUCAAAAGGUUAUGGAUUUGUUAAAUUUGCAGAGGAAAGUGAAAGGAACCGGGCCAUGGCUGAAAAUGAAAUGAAUGGUUUGUAUUGCUCAACAAGGCGUAUUAUCAGUAUUGUUAAGAACUUAGCCAACGUUGAUAUCUUCUUCUGUGUUUGCCUUUGACUGGUUUUGUAAAAUAUAUUGGACCGGAGUCGAGAGCAUGAAGAGUGCCACUAUAUUAUGUAAGUGAUAUGACUAGUACCUGAAGAAAGAAGAAAGAGGUUCAAGCGGAAAGUUAUGUUGAUCGUCAAUGUCGCUUCAAGGUUCUUUCUUCAUUGUCUUGAUUGCCAAGGUGGGACAAUCGAACUUCAGCAUUAACACCGGAGAAAGAGAUAUUCUACCUAGUGGCGAUCCUAACAUCGGCAGUGAAUGUAGUAACAUUAGUGAAUGUUUGUAUUGCUCAACAAGGUCAUGUGAAUGUAGUAACAUUAGUGAUAAUCAAAUAUGACAAAAGUUGGUAUCCUUUACAUUGUAGAUAUUUGUUUUGUAGUUUAGGUUGAAAUUUGUAGGGUUUUUUUUGUA